UCGCUUCUGCAGCAAAUAUACUAAAACUGGAAUGAUACAGAGUAGAUUAGCAUGGCCCCUGUGCAAGGAUGACACGCAAAAUUUAUGAAGCAUUACGUAUUGUU